AGAGUUUGAUCAUGGCUCAGAACGAACGCUGGCGGCAUGCCUAACACAUGCAAGUCGAACGCGUGUAGCAAUACACGAGUGGCGGACGGGUGAGUAACGCGUGGGAACCUGCCCAAUGGUAGGGAAUAACUGCGGGAAACUGCAGCUAAUACCCUAUGCUCCCUACGGGGAAAAGAUUUAUCGCCAUUGGAGGGGCCCGCGUCGGAUUAGCUAGUUGGCGGGGUAACGGCCCACCAAGGCUACGAUCCGUAGCUGGUCUGAGAGGAUGAUCAGCCACACUGGGACUGAGAUACGGCCCAGACUCCUACGGGAGGCAGCAGUGGGGAAUAUUGGACAAUGGGGGAAACCCUGAUCCAGCAAUGCCGCGUGAGUGAAGAAGGCCUUAGGGUUGUAAAGCUCUUUCGGCGGGGACGAUGGUGACGGUACCCGCAGAAGAAGCCCCGGCUAACUUCGUGCCAGCAGCCGCGGUAAUACGAAGGGGGCUAGCGUUGUUCGGAAUCACUGGGCGUAAAGGGCGCGUAGGCGGCGCGACAAGUCAGGCGUGAAAGCCCCGGGCUCAACCCGGGAAUUGCGCUUGAUACUGUCGUGCUUGAGGCCGGGAGAGGAUGGCGGAAUUCCCAGUGUAGAGGUGAAAUUCGUAGAUAUUGGGAAGAACACCGGUGGCGAAGGCGGCCAUCUGGACCGGUUCUGACGCUGAGGCGCGAAAGCGUGGGGAGCAAACAGGAUUAGAUACCCUAGUAGUCC
rnacentral:rRNA from 1 species